CUGACAGGGAAGGCCCGCAUGUCAUCCCCUUCCUCCACCCGUGUUCGUCAUGGAGACCACUCCCGAACCAGAUUCGAUCGAUUGGAUCGAUCUAUCCCCGCCCCCCUAGACCAUGGAAUCCACCUACAAGUGAUUGCCGAGUCCUCCUCUGCCGAUUUUUCUCCAAAAUCACAGUCUCCCGUGCCCUAGGUUGGUUUCGCGAUCUCGCCGGAGUUCCACCGCUGUUGACCUCCGUCGUCGUCGUUUCCGUCGCCUACAGGGAGUACCGAACCGAGCGCAAGAACCUCGAUCCGAAGAUCACAGCCACCGCCCGAGCUCCAGCCAUCCUCUCCGUCAAUCCCAUUCGCCACCGACGCCGCUGAGGACUUCUGCGAGACCGCAGCAGAGCUCCGCGUCCCUUACGCUACCCGCCGGAGUAUGGAGACCACCGGAGCAGGCGCCACCAUCGCCACCCGAGCCGCCACGUCGCCGUUCUGUCCAAGUCCGGCGGCUUUCCUCUGUUCUUUCUCCGAUUGUCCGGAGUGUGAAGCGGAUCAGAAUUAAGCGUUAGAGUACUUCAACAACGUUCAAGG